rnacentral:lncRNA from 1 species
UGGAUGCCUUAGCAAGAUCAUGUCUCUAAAUAAAAAAGAAUUGGGUGUGUUGCUCAGUGGUGGAGCACUUACCUAGGAUAUGUGAACUCCUGGGUUCAAUCCCCAUACUAGGAAAAAAAAAAAUAGAGGAAUGUAUUGUUAUAUAAAGCCCAUUUCCUUUUAUUCUACCUUUAUCUUCAUCAUCAUUUUAAUAUUCCUGCUUCAUUAACAGUUCAUUAACUGUUUGGCAGAAGCUGUACACCACUUGAAAACUAAAAUGUAAGGCACUGUUUAUUGUAGGUCAAUCAAUUCAAGAUAAAAGAAUUUCAAAAAUGAAGAUGUAAGUCAGUGGAAAAGCUAGAUUUGGCUCAUAGAAAAUUGAUUCUUCAAUGUACUUACACAGACACCAACUUCCUUAACAAGACCCCGAAAGCUCAAGAAAUGAAAACAAGAAUCAAUAAGUAGAUGGUUUCAAAUUAAAAAGCUUUUCUGCACAGCAAAGUAAACAAAAAACAAAAACAAAAAAAUGAAUAGAGAACCUACAGAAUGAGAGGGAAUCUUUGUCAGCUACUCUUCCAACAGGGGAUUAAUAUCCAGAAUGUAUAAAGAAUAAAAACACCACAAAAAAAAGAAACCUUGAAUAACUCAUCAGUAAAUGGGCAAAAAACUAAAUGGACAUUUCUCAAAAGAAGAAAAUACAAAUGGCCAAAAAAUAUAUGGAAAAAUGUUCAACAUCCUUAGCAAUAAGGGAAAUGCAAAUCAAAACUACCUUGACAUUUCAUCAC